CUGCUGAGUACAGAAGCCAAGCUGGUGAGUGUCCUUGCUUGUAAGGAAAACCCAACCUCAUCUUUCCUUGGCAGGGAGAUUCUGGAGCAGUCCCUAGGGAGGCCCUGUGGGGACCCCGGCCCCCCGGACACAGCUUGGCUUCCCCUCGUAGGUCUCAGCAGCUGGGGGCCCCCUCCCCCCUGUCAGCACCCUGACAGCACUGCACAGCUUGGAGCAGACAUCCCCAGGCCUCAACCAGCAGCCCCAGAACCUCAUCAUGGCCUCACUUCCUGGGGUCAUGACCAUCGGGCCUGGUGAGCCUGCCUCCCUGGGUCCUACGUUCACCAACACAGGUGCCUCCACCCUGGUCAUCGGCCUGGCCUCCACGCAGGCACAGAGUGUGCCGGUCAUCAACAGCAUGGGCAGCAGCCUGACCACCCUGCAGCCCGUCCAGUUCUCCCAGCCGCUGCACCCCUCCUACCAGCAGCCGCUCAUGCCACCUGUGCAGAGCCACGUGACCCAGAGCCCCUUCAUGGCCACCAUGGCUCAGCUGCAGAGCCCCCACGGUGAGCGCCCUGUGCCCCACACAGCUGGAGAUGAUGAUAGAGGUUGGCUGUCAAUGGAUGCAGGGGAAAGGGGUACCUGGCAGGCGUUGCAGUCUGCAUGUGUCUCUGGGACAAGUGUGUUUCCGUGACUGAGGGUGUCUGCAGGCCAGUGUGUUCCCAUGUGAAUGCACGUAUCUGUGUGUGUGCACGACUGCUUGUGUGAGCAGAUCCCUAGUGC
rnacentral:sRNA from 1 species